GGCUUGCGAGUUUCACCGAUGCGGUCACAACGGCGAUGCCAAACUCUGAGGAGAUACCAAAGGUGUACUGGGAGGCGAUGCUUCCUGGAAUCCCAAUGCCUCCACCUAUUAUCAACCUGCUAUUAGCCCAGCAAGAUGAUGUUCUCUUUUGUUGGUUGCGGUUCUGCAUAACUAUUGCUGGUCGCUGGAGCAGAAGCAAUGAAGCUUGAAGUUUAUAAGUUCUGGGAUGGCAAUAAUACUGC